rnacentral:rRNA from 1 species
ACGAACGCUGGCGGCAUGGAUUAGGCAUGCAAGUCGAACGAGUGUAGCAAUACACUAGUGGCGAAAGGGUGAGGAACACGUGAGUAAGCUGCCCUUCAGUUGGGAAUAACUUUUCGAAAGAGAAGCUAAUACCGAAUGUGACAUAUUAGCUGCAUGGCUGAUAUGUUAAAGAUUUAUCGCUGAAGGAUGUGCUCGCGUCCCAUUAGCUAGUUGGUGAGGUAACGGCCCACCAAGGCAAUGACGGGUAGGUGGUCUGAGAGGAUGGUCACCCACACUGGGACUGAGAUACUGCCCAGACUCCUACGGGAGGCUGCAGUCGAGAAUCUUCCGCAAUGGGCGAAAGCCUGACGGAGCAAUGCCGCGUGUAGGAUGAAGGCCUUUGGGUUGUAAACUACUGUCACCGGGGACGAAUUAUGACGGUACCCGGGGAGGAAGCAACGGCUAACUACGU